rnacentral:misc_RNA from 1 species
GAUGAAGAACGUAGCGAAAUGCGAUAAGUAAUGUGAAUUGCAGAAUUCAGUGAAUCAUCGAAUCUUUGAACGCACAUUGCGCCCGCCAGUAUUCUGGCGGGCAUGCCUGUUCGAGCGUCAUUACAACCCUCAGGCCCCCGGGCCUGGCGUUGGGGAUCGGCAGAAGCCCCCUGUGGGCACACGCCGUCCCUCAAAUACAGUGGCGGUCCCGCCGCAGCUUCCAUUGCGUAGUAGCUAACACCUCGCAACUGGAGAGCGGCGCGGCCAUGCCGUAAAACACCCAACUUCUGAAUGUUGACCUCGAAUCAGGUAGGAAUACCCGCUGAACUUAAGCAUAUAAUAGCGGAGGA